ACGUUCCUCCUCACUUCCUCGUACACAGAAUCAUACACAUCCAUCAUGGCAUCUUCCACCUACAAAGAAGACAUGUCCAGUCUCAGUGACACACCUGUGACAACAUUAUCUGCCAGUGCCUUGAAGUCUGGGUUGUAGUUUGAGAUUGCUAGUCGUAUACAGUCCAUCAGAUGGGCAUCUGUGAGGCGGAUGUGAUGCUUGGACUGGAUUAUCUUCAUUUGGGAGAAUGCUGUCUCUCAGAGGGGCAAAAGGGUGAGAAGAUCCUCCUUAGUUGCCAUAUCCUUAAAAACCAUGUACACAAAAACAAUCAGCUGGACUCUGUAAGUCAUGUCGACAGAUUCAUCGAACUGCAGGGAUAAGCAUUUGCAGUCCUUCAGGUCCUGCUAUAGUUGCUAAAAGACGUCUUCAGACAAAGAUUCCACUCGUGUUGCUACUGCGGAAGCAUCAAGUGACAUGCUCUGAAUUGCUAACAUUAUUUCUUCUUUGUUUUUAAAAUCUUUGAAUAAAG